rnacentral:rRNA from 1 species
UGCGUAUUGGGCCCGACGUCGCAUGCUCCCGGCCGCCAUGGCGGCCGCGGGAAUUCGAUUGUUUGUCUUGAGUUAUAGUGAAGUGGUUAGAAUGUGUAGUGUAGCGGUGAAAUGCAUAGAUAUUACACAGAAUACCAAUUGCGAAGGCAGAUCACUAACAAUUAACUGACACUGAUGGACGAAAGCGUGGGUAGCGAACAGGAUUAGAUACCCUGGUAGUCCACGCCGUAAACGAUGGUCACUAGCUGUUUGGACUUCGGUCUGAGUGGCUAAGCGAAAGUGAUAAGUGACCCACCUGGGGAGUACGUUCGCAAGAAUGAAACUCAAAGGAAUUGACGGGGGCCCGCACAAGCGGUGGAGCAUGUGGUUUAAUUCGAUGA